GGGGAUUUAGCUCAGUGGUUCCAGAGCUUGACUUGCAAGCACAACGGGCCUGAGUUCGAACCCCAGUACCCCCG
rnacentral:tRNA from 1 species